UGAUACAGAAGACUCUUUCAUUGAUGAUGCUGAAUUGGAUGAGUAUUUUGAGGUUGAUAACUCUGCAAUCAAGCAUGAUGGGUUCUUUGUAAAUAGGGGGAAAUUGGAACGCAUGGCCAAGUCUGUGUAGAUCUUCCUUCCACAAAUUUCUGUAGGUGAGAGUCUCAUGGAUUGGGUUGCCCUCUAUGUCUAUCUCUUUAUUUUUGUAAAUUGCUUAAUUUUGGAAGUGAUUUCACUUUUCUCUUUUUAAGCUAAUGGAUAUAAUACUAAAGUCAUUGGAAUAAUCUUGGGACCUUCAGUUAUAUUUAUGCUUGUGGCAUUGUCUUAACAUGAAACGAGAUCAUAUACCAUUCACAGUCAUAUUGAGUCUGUUAGUAGUGAUCACAACUAG